UACGUAGGGUGCGAGCGUUAAUCGGAAUUACUGGGCGUAAAGCGUGCGCAGGCGGUUCGUUGUGUCGGCGGUGAAAGCCACGGGCUUAACCUGGGAAUGGCCGUUGAAACUGGCGAACUGGAGUGUGGCAGAGGGGGGUGGAAUUCCGCGUGUAGCAGUGAAAUGCGUAGAGAUGCGGAGGAACACCGAUGGCGAAGGCAGCCCCCUGGGCUAACACUGACGCUCAGGCACGAAAGCGUGGGGAGCAAACAGG
rnacentral:rRNA from 1 species